rnacentral:rRNA from 1 species
ACGAACGCUUGCGGCGGGCUUAACACAUGCAAGUCGAACGGAAAGGCCCUGCUUUUGGGGGGUGCUCGAGUGGCGAACGGGUGAGUAACACGUGAGUAACCUGCCCUUGACUUUGGGAUAACUUCAGGAAACUGGGGCUAAUACCGGAUAGGAGCUCCUGCUGCAUGGUGGGGGGUGGAAAGGUUCGGCGGGUGGGGAUGGACUCGCGGCUUAUCAGCUUGUUGGUGGGGUAGUGGCUUACCAAGGCUUUGACGGGUAGCCGGCCUGAGAGGGUGACCGGCCACAUUGGGACUGAGAUACGGCCCAGACUCCUACGGGAGGCAGCAGUGGGGAAUAUUGCACAAUGGGCGGAAGCCUGAUGCAGCAACGCCGCGUGCGGGAUGACGGCCUUCGGGUUGUAAACCGCUUUCGCCUGUGACGAAGCGUGAGUGACGGUAAUGGGUAAAGAAGCACCGGCUAACUACGUG